rnacentral:lncRNA from 1 species
UGUUCCAAUCAUAUAUAUUAUCCGCAAGCUUGUAUACAACCACGAAAAUGCAUAUUUUAACAUCCUGCCCGUGAAGACCUUUCAACAUAAAAACAAGUUGGAUAAGCAUUAUCGCAUCUUCAUCCUGAAGUUGUAGAUAAUUCGGAGACAUAAUGUACUCUUCGAAAUCUCUAAGUCGCAAAUGUGAAUCGAUAAUGUCUGGGAACAACUAAGCCCGAAGAUUUGAAUUUGACCGGCCUUUUUUGUAAUGAAUUAAGUCGAAAUAAGGACCAACACUUAACCCACUAAUCAAAAUAUACUUCGUUUCACCAAAAUCCAACUGCACCCCCGUAUCUCAAACAAAAACCUUCCCGAUUCAACACUUGUUGAGAUUGUACUUCAUGCAACAUUAUCAGAUGUACGAGUAAGGGGUCACCAUGAAUUGCUAAGAAUCUUCCAAACGGUGAAGCUUCAAAUAAUGCUAGUUGCGAUUGAGUUAGCCGCGAAAAAUAGUCUUUAAUGAUCGCAUCGACCAUGCAUUUUAAAGUUAAAUCAACUUUUUGUUCGAGAUCAUCGUGCUACAAAACAUAUAUAUUUAAUUUAAUAUAAAACGUUAGUAAUUGAAAAUAAAAACAAAGUUUUAAAAUUACAUAGUAAAUUCGGUUAAGACAAUAAAUAGCAACGUUCUUUCAAUUUACAUUAAAAAAAACUCAAUUAUACCAUUCAAAUCAAUUUACAUUAAAAGAUAAAUAUCAACGUACUUUCAGUUUACAAAUUUUUAAUUUUCUAUUAAAGGGUUCGUUUUGAAAUUAAUUGUUAUAAAAGGGCAGAAAAAAAAAAAGAGGAAAUGGCAAUUUUAGGUCUUUCCAUGGAGGAGAUAUGUCACUCCUAUGAGCCCCCUCUGCGGAGUACCUAGCCCCUCCACGGAAUGGAUCUUCACCAUUUCAAUUCCAUUUCCGCCUAUUAGCAGGUUUUGAAUUCCUUAUUCAUACCAUUUUCAUCCAAAAUCUAAACAAUACAAAAACAGAAUACAUAAAUCUAAAGAACAUGAAAACGGAUUACCCGGGAGUUGUAUCCAUCCGUGAAAAUGUUAGGGAAUUGCCUAUCCAUCUGUUGUCGCCCGAAAAUGUCGUCGAAAGGGUUGUUGUCCAUGCGAAGGUCUACGUCGGAAGAAAUGGUUGUUGUCGAUGCGGAGUUUUGUCGAGGGAGCAGGGGGACCAAAGAGGAGACCCAAUUUUACAAAAGAGAAGGGAUGCGGAGGGGAGAAAUUACGAAAAUACCCCGAUUUCGCGGAGAUAUUGUCAGUCUGCGGAGCCUGUAG